AUGGCACCGGGGUUCACCAAGUUUGAUUUGGAGAAAUUUGAUGGCGCGGGUAACUUUGGUCUAUGGCAGACAAGAGUUAAGGAUAUUCUGGCGCAGCAGGGAAUCUUGAAGGGUUUGCAGGAGACGAAGCCGGCCAAAGUUGACAACGAUGCAUGGGAGGGUAUGCAAGUGCAGGCGAUCGCUACCAUGCGGCUUUGUCUUGCGGAUCAGAUCAUGUAUCAUGUCAUGGACGACGAUACUCCUAAGGGAAUUUGGGACAAGUUGGCAAAUCAUUAUAUGUCCAAGUCAGCGACCAAUAAGCUGUAUUUGAAGCAAAAGUUCUAUGGGCUGAAGAUGCGGGAGGGGUCAGAUCUUGUGGAGCAUGUGAAUGCCUUUAAUCAGUUGGUCAUGGAUCUAGCGCGUCCAGAUGUGGAGAUUGAUGAUGAGGAUAAGGCACUACUUCUUCUUGUUUCAUUGCCACCAUCCUAUGAGCAUUUGGUCAUUUACAUUGACACAUGA
rnacentral:rRNA from 1 species